AAGGGGUUCAGGCUUUGCUGAGGCACUUUGGGACCCUUAUGACUACAUUCUGGCACAAAGGAAAAUGGAUGGAGGUGAUGUUUUUCUUCUGGCGUGACACCCUAUGAGUUGACCUUCCCUGCCUUUCUUCCUUUGGAUGAUGGCCUUGGAGGCCGCUGAAGAGACUCGAGAUGCAAAAAAGCCUAGAGCCCCGAGUUAGCCUGCAGGGGAGAGGAACAUGGCUGGAUCUGAGGUGUGGGGUCCGAAUACCUUGGGCCAUCCUCUACGAC